rnacentral:lncRNA from 10 species
GAAGAGCCAUACGCCUCCCGCCAUGAUUCUGAGACCUCCACAGCGAUGUGGAACUGAAACCUUAACGACUCCACCAAAAGGCUUGUAUACCCAGGAAACAACUUCAGUAAACUUUCAUGAUACAAAAUCACUGUACAAAAAUCAGUAGCAUUUCUACACACCAAUAAUGACUUAACUGAAAGCCAAAUCAAGAGCACAAUGGCAUUUACAAUAGCCACAUCAAAAAAAAAUGAACUAUCUGGGAAUACAUCUAACCAAGGAGGUGGAAGAUCUCUAAAAAGAACUACAAAACACUGCUGAAAGAAAUAAGAAAUAUCAAAAAUAAAUGGAAAAAAUAUUCCAUGCUCAUGGAUUGGAAGAAUCUGUAUCAUUAAAAUGGCCAUACCAUUCAAAGCAAUCUACAGAUUCAAUGCCAUUCCUAUCAAAAUACCAAAAUUAUUUUUCACAGAAGUAGAAAAAUUUUUUUUUACAAUUUGUACAGAACCAGAAAAGAACUAAUGCAAUCCUAAGAAAAAAAAAAAGGAAACCAAAGCUGAAGGCAUCAUGUUAUCUGAAUUCAAACUAUACUAUAAGACUACAGUAACAAAAACAGCAUGGUACUGAUACAAAAACAGACACAUACACCAGUGGAAAAUAAUAGAGAAUCCAGAAAUGGAGGUACAUACCUGAAACCAUGUGUUCUUCAACAAAAUUGACAAAAGUAAGCACUGGGAAAAGGACUCCCUAUCCAAUAAAUGGUGCUGGGACAACUAGAUAGCCAUAUAAAAAUACAGCUGAACCCCUAUCUUUCACCAUGUACAAAAAUUAACUCAAGAUGGACUAAAGAUUUAAAUGUAAGACCUCUAAUUAUAAAAAUCCCAGAAGAAAACUUAGGAAAUACUCUUCUUGACAUCGACUUUGGCAAAGAAUUUAUGUUUAUGUCCUGAAAAGCAAUUGCAACAAAAACAAAAAUUGACAAGUGAGAUAUAAUUAAACUAAAGAGCUCCCACACAGCAAAAGACAUUUCAACACAGUAAACAAAGAGAGCCUACAAAAUGGGAGAAAAUAUUCACAAACUAUGCAUUCAACGAAGGUCUAUUAUUUCUCUUCUAAUGGGAACGCUUCAUGAUCACUGUGAUCAGGUCUUAUUUUUGUGUAUGUCACAAGCCUUAUUACAAUAUUGAAUAUACAGUAGUUCUUUAAAAUCAUGAUGAAUAAAUGAAUAAUCAUCAUGAUAACUUAGUAUACAUGUAUCGUGCCCUCUUUUGUUUGUGAUGAAGUUGAUGAUGUAUACUCAUGACUAUGGGCCUUUAUCCUAAUGCAUCAACCUUCAUUUCCUCUCUAUUUACUUAGACCAAUUACCAGUUUCACUGUAAAACCCCAGGUGCUAUAAUUAUUAUUAUUUUUUGCCUGUACUGUAGCAUACCUAGCACAGAGAUAGAGUUGACUUUUUUAUGACUACCCAACAAGUAUUCCUUAAGUUGAAGAAGGCAGUAAAAUUGCAUGCAGUGAAUAGAUCUCAAAUAUUUGGUACUUGUAAUAGUAGAGGCUUUAAAAAGUUUGGUAUUUUUAUUCUUUUAUUACUUCCCAGUCCCAAUCUCUGAUGCAGCUGGGAUAAAUUUUCCAAUAGCCUAAAGCAGCCCACCUCUUCUUUCUCACCCCACCAUACAUAUAUGCACACACACAGGCUGAGUCACAUGUUUGGUGAAAAUAUUUAGGUCAAAAUAAUAUCUUCAUCUGACUACUACACAAAGCUAUUAGUCAUUAAAAGUCGGGUACGUACAUGAAGUUAAUGUUAUAAUUUUACAAAUUAGAAAACAAAUUUUUCUGUAGGGAUGUAGACCAAGAGCAAUCCACUCAAAUACUUGUAUCUCUAUAUUCUGAGAGCUGUCCUGAAAAGAGAAGGCUCACUAAAAUUAUGUGUGUGUAUGCCUAUAAAAGAAAUAUACAUACAUACACUCACAUACACACAAAUAUAAUGCAUGCAUAUGUUAAUGUUUAUAUAUGCAUGUAUAUACAUUUUAAAUUAAAUUCCAUUAAUUUGCACAGGUCUGAUAAUAUUAGGAUUCAAUGGUAGUAGAUGGUAGAGUAUAUAUGCUUAGCCAUGCUUCUACAGUUGUGUCAGACACUGUUUUAAUACCAGUUAGUAACUCACUGUUCACCAUAAAAUGAAAAAGAAACUGAAGAGAUUGAUGCAAGCAUAGAGUUCCUCCCCCAUAAGUGAUAAGGUAGGAAUUGUCUCAAGAAACAAAUCAACAUUUUAUCAAAAAUACAUACAGCCAAACAGCUAUAAUUCUCUACUGUGUUUUUCUUCCAUAAAAGUCUGUCAUGGGAAUGUGAUGCACCUAUAUUACAAAUCAAUCCAAGGCCAUUUCAAGGUUAUACUCACUCUCUGGGGCAUUGAGCUAAUGAAUUUGAGUGACUUUAUUCAUUAUAUAAAAUUUAUUACAUACUCAUUUAGUAUUGCACAUACGUUUCUCUUAAAGAUAAUACAAAACACAAUAAAUAACAUAUAAGAUAUUCAUGAUAAAGACAAAACUCAAUUAGUGUUAAUCAUAGUUCUUUCACAGAAAGUAGAAAUCUACCACAGUAACACAUAUAGAAAAGGUACUAAAUAAUAUCCAUUUGAUAAAUAAGUAGCAUACCCUAUGCAAUGUAUAAAAGACUGAAUAAACAAAUAGAAGAAGAAAUGCAGAAGGAGGAUAAAUUAAUUAUGUUUUUAGAAUUAUGUUUUUAGAAGGCAGUGCAAAAGAAACUUCCUAAAAGAGCUGGCUCUUGAUUUGAGCCUUAAAAGAUGCCUUAAAGUUCUUGAUGAUGAAUAUGGUUUUGGAAAGGUAGAAAAAUAUUCCAUUACUUGAGGUAUGAAAGUAACCCAUGUAUGGAAUUAUAAAUGUGACUACCUCUCUAAUAGAACAUUUGAAGGGUAGUAUGAAUUGUGGUUAAAGGGU